ACCCUUUUAGCUCAGUGGUUGAGCGUUGGCUUUGGAAGCCACAGGUUGGUCGAUCGAUUCACCCGGGCGCA
rnacentral:tRNA from 1 species